rnacentral:rRNA from 1 species
GGGUUGUGAGGUUAAGCGACUAAGCGUACACGGUGGAUGCCCUGGCAGUCAGAGGCGAUGAAGGACGUGCUAAUCUGCGAUAAGCGCCGGUAAGGUGAUAUGAACCGUUAUAACCGGCGAUUUCCGAAUGGGGAAACCCAGUGUGAUUCGUCACACUAUCAUUAACUGAAUCCAUAGGUUAAUGAGGCGAACCGGGGGAACUGAAACAUCUAAGUACCCCGAGGAAAAGAAAUCAACCGAGAUUCCCCCAGUAGCGGCGAGCGAACGGGGAGGAGCCCAGAGCCUGAAUCAGCAUGUGUGUUAGUGGAAGCGUCUGGAAAGGCGCGCGAUACAGGGUGACAGCCCCGUACACAAAAGCGCAUGUGCUGUGAGCUCGAUGAGUAGGGCGGGACACGUGGUAUCCUGUCUGAAUAUGGGGGGACCAUCCUCCAAGGCUAAAUACUCCUGACUGACCGAUAGUGAACCAGUACCGUGAGGGAAAGGCGAAAAGAACCCCGGCGAGGGGAGUGAAAAAGAACCUGAAACCGUGUACGUACAAGCAGUGGGAGCACCCUUCGGGGUGUGACUGCGUACCUUUUGUAUAAUGGGUCAGCGACUUAUAUUCUGUAGCAAGGUUAACCGUAUAGGGGAGCCGUAGGGAAACCGAGUCUUAACCGGGCGUUAAGUUGCAGGGUAUAGACCCGAAACCCGGUGAUCUAGCCAUGGGCAGGUUGAAGGUUGGGUAACACUAACUGGAGGACCGAACCGACUAAUGUUGAAAAAUUAGCGGAUGACCUGUGGCUGGGGGUGAAAGGCCAAUCAAACCGGGAGAUAGCUGGUUCUCCCCGAAAGCUAUUUAGGUAGCGCCUCGUGAAUUCAUCUCCGGGGGUAGAGCACUGUUUCGGCUAGGGGGCCAUCCCGGCUUACCAACCCGAUGCAAACUGCGAAUACCGGAGAAUGUUAUCACGGGAGACACACGGCGGGUGCUAACGUCCGUCGUGAAGAGGGAAACAACCCAGACCGCCAGCUAAGGUCCCAAAGUCAUGGUUAAGUGGGAAACGAUGUGGGAAGGCCCAGACAGCCAGGAUGUUGGCUUAGAAGCAGCCAUCAUUUAAAGAAAGCGUAAUAGCUCACUGGUCGAGUCGGCCUGCGCGGAAGAUGUAACGGGGCUAAACCAUGCACCGAAGCUGCGGCAGCGAACGUAUCACCCAAGACAACUUUACGGAGUUGACGAUUGACGGAGCGAAGCGACGUCAAAGCGUUCAUUAAAGUCGAGUUGGCUUAGGGAUACGUUCGUUGGGUAGGGGAGCGUUCUGUAAGCCUGUGAAGGUGUGUCGUGAGGCAUGCUGGAGGUAUCAGAAGUGCGAAUGCUGACAUAAGUAACGAUAAAGCGGGUGAAAAGCCCGCUCGCCGGAAGACCAAGGGUUCCUGUCCAACGUUAAUCGGGGCAGGGUGAGUCGACCCCUAAGGCGAGGCCGAAAGGCGUAGUCGAUGGGAAACGGGUUAAUAUUCCCGUACUUGGUGUUACUGCGAAGGGGGGACGGAGAAGGCUAUGUUGGCCGGGCGACGGUUGUCCCGGUUUAAGCGUGUAGGUGUGUGUUCCAGGUAAAUCCGGUUCACUUUAACACUGAGGCGUGACGACGAGGCACUACGGUGCUGAAGCAACAAAUGCCCUGCUUCCAGGAAAAGCCUCUAAGCAUCAGGUAACACGAAAUCGUACCCCAAACCGACACAGGUGGUCAGGUAGAGAAUACCAAGGCGCUUGAGAGAACUCGGGUGAAGGAACUAGGCAAAAUGGUGCCGUAACUUCGGGAGAAGGCACGCUGACACGUAGGUGAAGUGAUUUACUCAUGGAGCUGAAGUCAGUCGAAGAUACCAGCUGGCUGCAACUGUUUAUUAAAAACACAGCACUGUGCAAACACGAAAGUGGACGUAUACGGUGUGACGCCUGCCCGGUGCCGGAAGGUUAAUUGAUGGGGUCAGCGCAAGCGAAGCUCCUGAUCGAAGCCCCGGUAAACGGCGGCCGUAACUAUAACGGUCCUAAGGUAGCGAAAUUCCUUGUCGGGUAAGUUCCGACCUGCACGAAUGGCGUAAUGAUGGCCAGGCUGUCUCCACCCGAGACUCAGUGAAAUUGAACUCGCUGUGAAGAUGCAGUGUACCCGCGGCAAGACGGAAAGACCCCGUGAACCUUUACUAUAGCUUGACACUGAACAUUGAGCCUUGAUGUGUAGGAUAGGUGGGAGGCUUUGAAGUGUGGACGCCAGUCUGCAUGGAGCCGACCUUGAAAUACCACCCUUUAAUGUUUGAUGUUCUAACGUGGACCCGUAAUCCGGGUUGCGGACAGUGUCUGGUGGGUAGUUUGACUGGGGCGGUCUCCUCCUAAAGAGUAACGGAGGAGCACGAAGGUUGGCUAAUCCUGGUCGGACAUCAGGAGGUUAGUGCAAUGGCAUAAGCCAGCUUGACUGCGAGCGUGACGGCGCGAGCAGGUGCGAAAGCAGGUCAUAGUGAUCCGGUGGUUCUGAAUGGAAGGGCCAUCGCUCAACGGAUAAAAGGUACUCCGGGGAUAACAGGCUGAUACCGCCCAAGAGUUCAUAUCGACGGCGGUGUUUGGCACCUCGAUGUCGGCUCAUCACAUCCUGGGGCUGAAGUAGGUCCCAAGGGUAUGGCUGUUCGCCAUUUAAAGUGGUACGCGAGCUGGGUUUAGAACGUCGUGAGACAGUUCGGUCCCUAUCUGCCGUGGGCGCUGGAGAACUGAGGGGGGCUGCUCCUAGUACGAGAGGACCGGAGUGGACGCAUCACUGGUGUUCGGGUUGUCAUGCCAAUGGCACUGCCCGGUAGCUAAAUGCGGAAGAGAUAAGUGCUGAAAGCAUCUAAGCACGAAACUUGCCCCGA